GAUGAACGCUGGCGGCGUGCUUAACACAUGCAAGUCGAACGAAGAACUUUAUUUGAUUUCCUUCGGGCCUGUUUCUUUUGUGACUGUGUGGCGGACGGGUGAGUCACGCGAGGGUAACCUGCCUUGUACAGGGGGAUAACAGUUGGAAACAGCUGCUACUACCGCAUAAGCGCACAGCAUCGCAUGAUGCAGUGUGAAAAGCGCCGGCGGCAUAAGAUGGACCCGCGUUGGAAUAGGUAGUUGGGGAGGUAACGGCCCACCAAGGCGACGAGCCAUAGCCGACCGGAGAGGGGGACCGGCCGCAUUGGGACUGAGACACGGCCCAAACGCGUACGGGAGGCAGCAGUGGGGAAUAUAGCACAAUGGGCGAAAGCCUGAUGCAGCGACGCCGCGUGAGCGAAGAAGUAGUUCGGUAUGUAAAGCGCUAUCAGCAGAGAAGAUAAGGACGGUACCUGAAUAAGAAGCACCGGCUAAAUACGU
rnacentral:rRNA from 1 species